UCGCUUUGGAGCUACUUUUGGACCUCGCCUCACUUUUACCAUGCCCCCUCUCUCCUAGAGUUACCCUAAAUAUGAAAUUGUUUCCCGUUUCUUUCACCACACACAUGACAACAUGCAGCCCGAAUUUCAUCAGUUUGGAAUAUUUCUAGUCAUGUCCUAGGCACUACGUAAUAUUGAUGUGCAUAUGUACUACUCCAUUGAUUCCUAAAUAUAGGUCCUUUUUUAGAUUCGAAUAUGGACUAUAUGUAAAACAAAAUGAUUGAAUUUACACUCUAAAAUAUGUUUAUAUGCAUUUGUAUGUAGUUUUUACUGAAAUUUCUAAAAAGACUUAUAUUUAAAAACGAAGGGAGUACUAUAUACUUAUAAUAUGACACUGGUAAAAUGUUACUCCGAAUUGAACUAGUACCUCAGCGACCAAAAAACUGAGACUAUCAAUUAAGUGAGUAAGUGAUGUCUUGAAGCCAUCCAGAAGGAAGGCAAUGGAUAAACUACAUUCGUAUGAACUGGAUGCAUGUUUACACCAAACAU
rnacentral:lncRNA from 1 species